rnacentral:rRNA from 1 species
AGGCCACAGGUGCAAGUGCAGUAAUGUAUUCAGCCGAGUGGUACUAAUCUCCCG